rnacentral:rRNA from 1 species
UACGGGGGGGGCAAGCGUUGUUCGGAAUUACUGGGCGUAAAGGGCUCGUAGGCGGCCAACUAAGUCGGAUGUGAAAUCCCCAGGCUUAACCUGGGAACUGCAUCCGAUACUGGAUGGCUUGAAUCCGGGAGAGGGAUGCGGAAUUCCAGGUGUAGCGGUGAAAUGCGUAGAUAUCUGGAGGAACACCGGUGGCGAAGGCGGCAUCCUGGACCAACACUGACACUGAGGAGCGAAAGCCAGGGGAGCAAACGGG